GACGAACCGUGCAGACGUUAUUCGGAAUCACUGGGCUUUAAAGGGCGCGUAGGCGGGAUCUCAAGUCUGCGGUGAAAGCCUCCAGCUUAACUGGAGAAGUGCCGUGGAUACUGGGGGUCCUCGAGGAGGGUAGGGGCAUCUGGAACGUUGGGUGGAGCGGUGAAAUGCGUUGAUAUCCAACGGAACUCCGGUGGCGAAGGCGAGGUGCUGGACCCUUUCUGACGCUGAUGCGCGAAAGCCAGGGGAGCGAACGGG
rnacentral:rRNA from 1 species